CAACUGCUGAGUGAAAUCACUGAGUUAGCCCCAGCAUGGGAUAAAACUAUACUGAAGAGUUAAAAGUUUUAAGGUUCUGAAUGCUCAUUUUGUUGACAUCUCCUGCUCCAGUUGUGGCUCCUUCAAAGGCUUUGUCAGCUGGGGCUGACAUUAGCAGACUCAUUCUCCCUUUGAUGUCAACCGCUCAAUAGAGAGGAGUUGUGGAGAGCUGCUGGAAGCAGAAACUGACAUUGCUUCAUGGACACCUGCCCAACCAACUCUCUCUGUGCCUUGAAUGAAGAUGUAUCUAUCACAGAUAAGUAGGAACACCACAUUUCAGCAGGGGAUCUUGACUCUUUUCUCCUUUUCAGCAUGAUUUUCUGGCAUUCACGCACCUUUCAAACUUAAAAUGAUGAAUUCUGUCCCUAAUUUCUCUACCUCAGAAGAGAGUUGCAAGGCUUAAAUUGUUAGCAUUUGCAAGGCAUUUUAGAUCUUCAAAUGGAAGGCAUUAUAAAAUUACAAAGCACUGUUGCACCUUCCAGACUCCUCACUCUGGAAAUCCUUACUUCCCACUCAGAUUGUCCAACCUGUAUCCUACAACUGUAUGUCUCAAGAAGAUCAACCUUUUUCCAAUGCUGGCUUCAGUUCUAUUCCCUGAAGAAUGAGCUUUCGAGACCUGCCAGACAUCUUAUAUGCACUAGGACCAAGCUGUCACUGGAAUAUCUAGCUGCAGUAGGGUAUUACUUGAAUAGGAUGCCAUUCCAUCGCAAAUGCUGGGCUUCAAUGUGCUAUGAAGGGGAGCUGGCAAGCUUCAGUUUCAAACUAUUGCUUGAUAUUUGUCAUCUGGUGCUCAAGCUUUUUAAUUUGUUUACAUUAUUUACACCAUGUUUCUAAAAGUUCCUUCCCCCCUCCCAUUGAAAACACUACAGAUACAUUUUGUUUUGAAAGGUGCCUUAGUUUACAUCAUUAUACUCUAUUCAAAGUUGGCUAGUCACAGAGGGUAAGCCAUUACGUACACAGAUCCAUGCAGGAAAUGCCAGCUUUUGCCACAUGGAUUGAGGAGACUUGAUGAGAUGGUGCCUGGGGAAAGCAACAAAGGAUCCUGCACUUUAGGUGGAGUUUGAGCACUUCCAUGGUCCGCUUUAUUGUAAAAUAUAAAAGACCUACUCCUUUAAGGACCAAACAUGGAUACUAUGCAUCAGGGCUUUCUUCAGCAAAAGUUCAGGGUCUUGAGAAGGUCUGACUUGUUUCAGCCAAGUCUGAAGGUCCCAGAUGUGAUAAAGUUGAAGGAGGAGUGAGAGGAAAAAUCCAGCUCCUAUCCUCUUCAAAGAGGUCCUUCUACACUCAGGCCUCAAGCUGUCCACAGCACAUACCUGGAAGAAUGAACUGGGCGGAAUUAAUUCCUUAGCCUGACACAGCUACUACCCUGAAAAUCCCUUUAUUUUAAGGCAGGCAACUAUGGGCCUUUCUUUGGUUGGAAACAUUUAACCUGUUUCCUGACAGCCACUGGAUAGGAUCUGUGCACCCCUCUAGACUUCUCUAGAAGUUGAUUUAAGGAAAGCAUUCACAAAGUCUAUAAAAAUGUGAACCCAAUUCCCCUUAAAAAGAAAACCCUGCACCACAGAAUUGCCUGCUCUUAAAAUUUUCAGGGCAAUUCGUUAUCCGUGAUCCUGGGUUAUGAAAAACUGACAUCUUGCUGUUGGCCCAGAGCUACAUAUAAGAUUUUUGUUGCAUUUAGUGUGUGUUUUCCCAAAGACAGGAAAAUGUAAAAUAAUACGAAUGGUCUGACCCUUUGGCCCUCCUGGAGGGAGUGGGGGGCUUUAAUAAAAUCUUGCAUACUGAUUGAAAUAAGAAUGAUUACAAUUUUAUAACGUGGAGUGCUUUUGAGGAUCUAUUUUUUAAAAUACUAUUGAAACCUGAAGCCAAAAUGAAGUUUCAUUUUUAAAAUCAUAUUUCAUAGGUGCAGUGCCAGGACCAUGACAUACAAUCCUUUGGUGAGGUCAGAACCAUAAAAUAUUGCCAUUGUUCUUUUUACUUAUUUUCAAAUUACAGAUUGUGUACACAGUAUAUCCUAUAUAUGUAUACAAUCCUAUACACAAGUUAUAUAGACACUUCAACCAUGAGUAAUUAGUUAACAAUACUAAGUAUUAAAAAUUUAUAAGGACCAAACACAAAUGAAACAAUUAAGGAAGCAACAACAUAAUACUGCCAUCUCAUGGCAAAAACAUAAGGUAGUAUUGUUCAGAUAUAACAAGGAAAAGAGUUAGUGUUUAAAACCUAAAUACUAAAUUUGAUUUACAAAAAGGUAAUAACUAAAAUACUUCUAUUAAGGGCUUGUGUACCUGAACAAUUAGUUCAUGACAAGCUGGGGUCUGAGUCUAUCUGGCACUAGCCUGGCAGGGUUUAACACUCAAUGCAGGUCAGCAGAGUAAACAUGAACAGUUCAUUAGAUUGUCUUGAUUCAGUCCUCUUUAAAAUGGAACUAGCUCAAAGCACUCUAAUGAACUGUUAGUGUACAUGUGGUAUGCAGUCUAGUUGUAGUUGUGAUGCUCAGAGUACCUUUCCCAGACCUGAAGAAGAGCUCUGUGAGGCUUGAAAGCUUGCCUCUCUCACCAACAGAAUCUGGUCUAAUAAAAGAUAUUAUCUCACCCACCUUGUCUCUGUUAGCACACAUGGACUGUUAGAUUGCUGGUCAGCAGGAUUUACAUGGAGAAUUAGACCCUGCCAGGCUAUUGCAAGGCAGGAUUCACCCCCAGACUUGCCAUGAAGUGAUUGUUCAUGCAGACAAGCCUUUAGAGUUAUAGAAAUAUUUGACACAGAAGGUAGAACUACCUGAAAUUAUGUUUGAUUUGAGUUUGAACUACAUCCACACAGAGGUCAGAUGAAGAACAGAGCCAUUAUCAUAACAUACCGACGGUUCAUUUAGACCAGUAUCCCAUCUCUGAUAGUGAUUGGUACCAAAUGCUUUAAAGGAAAGUGCAUAUAGUAGAAUAAACCACCCGUAGGGGACAAUUUGUUCUAAACUGUUAGAUGACGGUUUACUUACGCUGUGAAACGUGAGGGCUCAUAUCCUUGAAGAGGGGGGCGGGGGGAAGAGUCUCUCUCUCUCCUGUUGAAUGUAACUGGAUGUUCUCAGUAGCCAUACAAAUGUCUAAUCCUUUUUGAAUCUUAAUAAACAGUGUUUCAAUUAUA